GACGUGGUUGCGAGAGCUCUCAUAUCUGUUGUGUUAAACUGUUUUUAUGAUAUGUUAUGUUUGUUUGUUUGUUUGUUUGUGUUGUACUAUUUUUCAGAUGCUGUUGGCAGUGAUGGGUUUUCAAGCUGACCUGAACAGAAAAGCACUCAUAUGGUAAGUACAAAAUAGUUGUUAUAUGGGAUGUUUUGUGCAUGCUUCUAUGUUUCAGGUGUACUUGCUGACAGCGACGAAGACGAUACGAGAAGAGGAACAUUGUUGAGAAAGUGAUUGGGACUUGCAAACAGGAUUCGAGUCACUGGUUUACACAUGGAAGAAGAUUUCCACGUCUGUUACUCAACUCUACAGAAGCAAGAUGUUUUGUUUCAGUUGAUGUCCAGAUGGCAAGCAGAACAGACGUGUUUCUUGGAGCUGCCAAACAGUGAGUACAAACGUUUUAUAUUUUUCAGUUGUUUACUCAUAGAAGUCUGUGAAAGAUGAUAGCAAGGGUAGAAUCUAUCAGUACUUGUGUCUAAAAAUGCUGAUGUGUGACGGUUUACUGAAAAGGGUAAAUGCUAGCCAGUACUUACACUUGAGCAACCGUGGGAUGUCGAACUAACUGAUGAUGUACUAUGAUGGUGAACACUUACUAUGUGUAUCGAAAUGCUUUUGUUGAUAUUUUCUAUAGAUGAUUUGAUAUUGGUUAACAUUUGUUUGCAUGCUGUUAACAUUUCUAUUUCAUUUCAGUUAGCUGUGGUGAGUAUUGUAGUAUACAUUUGUUUCAAUAAAUCAUGGUGAUUCUUUUUUACAGUUUUAGGGAUUAUCACUCUAUAACAACUCUGUCGGUUGGUGUUCAUGAGUCUGAGCCUAAUACAGCAAUGUUUGAGUAGUACAAAAAUGUUUUCGCUUUUGUGGUCGCCAGCUGUCCGUGAUCUGUAAAGUGAAAAAUACACAGAGCUAUGAAGCAUACAAAUGUUUCGAAAUUUUAUCAAUGAUUGUAUACUAUGCAUGUUUUGAUUUAGUUCAUUUCAGAUAUGAGAUGACAUGAAGAGUUGACAGUCGAACAGAGCUGAGCAACGCAGAAAGGUAAGUGUGUUUCAUUUUAGUAUGAACACUUGUAUUUUGUUUUUAUAUGGUAUGUUUUGUGCAUGCUAUGUUUCAGGUGUACUUGUAGUCAGCGACGAAGACGAUUAAAGAAGAGGAACAUUGCUGAGAAAGUGAAUGGGACUUGCAAACAGGGUAAGUGUUACAAUUGUUGGUUUGAUUUUUACCAUGCAUACUUUGCUUUACUCUGUUUCAGAUUUCACAUGCAGAAAUGGUCUCAUAGCAGUGCCAACAGUGAAUAAGGAUUUCAUCUGCUGUGAAACAACUCAACAGAAAGUAGGUAAGCAUUGAAUGCAUGCACUUGAGUUGUACAAUUUGAUGUGAUGCUUUUCUCUGUUUCAGAUUCAAGUUUCUGGUGUAGACAGAAAAAUGUGUUUGAAGAAGGAAUUCUACUACUGUGAUUCAACUCUACAGAAGCAAGGUAAGUAGAAACAAAAUUUUGGUUUAAUUUAACUCAUGUGUUUUGCACUGCAUGCUAUUUUUCAGGUCUCUCAUGCAGUGAUGCAAAAGAAGAAGAUUUCAAGAAAGAAUCACUGCUGCAACUCAGGCCUAUAACAAGACUUACAUUGCUGUGACUGUUCCACAGUGGGUCAAAAAAGAGACGAAUACAGGUUUCAAGAAGAAAAUUGGCUGUUGAAAACCUGCACAAAAUAUGAGGUAAGUAAACUAUUCUUUUGGUUUGUUUUGUGCUUUGUUAUGCUUAACUAUUUUUCAGAUUGGAAUGGUGGGUCGUUACAGAGCAGACUUUUGGACAACUGAGAAGUUGAGAAACAGAGAAUGAUUCAAGAUCAGCUAGUUGCCAGAGGUGAGUACCAUAACAGUUGAAAAGUUAGUUUUGUUUAGUUAAAGUUUUGGUUCACAGUUCUGUUUGUUAUUUGGCAAAAUUUACAUGUAUGCAUUGAGUCUUGAUUUCAGCUAGAUUGUGGACUGAAGAAGAUUGCCAGCAGAGGGAUUGGAUACAAGAUACAAAGUAAGUACUGAGUUUCUUACUAAAAGUUUUGAGUUGUAUUCAUCGUGUGUUAAUAUGCUAUGAUUGCUAUGAACAUGACUUUUGUAUUUCAGCGAAGACAACAUAGAUAAGUAAAAUUGUUAUCUGUUUCAUGUUUACUGUUACAGUUCAAUAUUGUGUUUAUAAAUUGUAAGUUGUACAAACACAUUCAAAAGUUUCUGAUCAUGCUUUCGAUUUCAUUUCAGCUUUACUGCUUGACGAGUGUUAUCAACUACUAGACGAGUCAGCUUUACUACCAGGCGAGCAGUGACAACAAGGCGCCUUUGUGGAAACAACACAACAAAAAACUGUACUGCUAGACGAGCAGUGACAGAAAGGCGCCUGAACAUGCAACACAAAACAAAAAAUGCCAAUUUGCAAACCUUGAUGUGGACACCGAGUAGUCAAUACAUACGUGUGGCGUAUAGCUGCGACAAAACCGUGGGUCCAUCGCACCGAUAACUUGAACAUUGGCCCGUGUAUGGACAUCAGUGCAACUUUGUGAAUCCAUGUAACUUUGUGAAUCCAUGUAACAUUGCGAAUGUGUGUCGAUCGAAAAAUGUGUACAUUCUGCACUGAAACGAACUCGGUGUUGCAAGUGGCAAGUGUUGACAGUGUGUAUGUUUAUGUUUAUGUUUUUACAUGAAAAAUAAAGGAGAUUGUUCUCCUACCUUUUUUUUCCUUGUUUUAUUGUGCUGGCCAGCAAUAUUGAUGUAUUGAUGUAUGUGUUUGUGUUUAAACUAUGCAAUACCAAAAUCAAACAAAAAAUAAACAUUAACAGUCAUUAACUGUGUUUGGGCGGCCGAGGGGUUUAAGACUCCACAAGUGUGAAGCGCACUGAUAGCACUUGGGGGUAAACACCUCGGUAUUUCGGUGCUAAAAUGUUUUCACGGUGCUUAUUUUGACGCACUGUUAGAACUACCAACCAGUAAAUGAUUGCUUGAUUUAUAAAACAAAUAUUCAGUCUCUACUUUGGCACAAGAGACUCUAAGUAUCAAAUACCAACAAUUUAAGCGCAGACAAUCACAUGGUGGUACACCAGUCCGAAUAUACUCAUUGCUCUAGCCAGGAUUGCAAAUUACUUGUGUUGACUAGCAAGGCUCCCUAGUAACGGAGCAGUGUUACUGGCGUUUUUUGGGUCGAUAGUGCUCAGGUGAGGUUUUGCUCGAAUCGGGAGCGGGUCACUCGCUUGGGCGAGUUAGUUUUCGCUCGUAGUUUCCAAUCUGGCUAGAUCAAUGUAAGGUUGUUUUGACUGCUAUUUGGCAAGCAGAAAGACAACAGCGGUUAAUUGACUGAGUAUGGGCGACCGAGGUAUGUAGGUGUCAAUAGACCGACUCCACAAGUUGCGAAGCGAACCGAUAGCACUUGAGGGGAAACGCCUCGGUUUUCGGUUCUAACAUGUGUUAUCCAUGCUGUCGUUAUACUCUGGCAAGGCUCCUCAAUCUAUCGCGAGGGACACUCAUUAUUGCCCGCAAGCUUUAGAACCUGACGUGGGUCGAUGCGUAUGCGAGUCCGAGGACGCGAUGGCAUUUGAUAAGGCUACCAACCGGUUGAUAACACGCA